GGGUGCGGUCAUACCAUCACUAUUGCACCGAAUCCCAUAAGAACUCUGAGGUUAAGCAUGGCAAGAGUAGCAAUAGAAUGGAUGACGUCUUGGGAAGUUCUUGUGUUGCGCCCA
rnacentral:rRNA from 1 species